AGGUGACUGUGGCCAGGAGUGGGCCUGGCUGUGUUGGUGUGAUGGGCUGGGGCAACAUGGCCAAGCAGGACACAGAGUCUUGCAUUGGAAAUUCAAGAUACACCGAUCAAGUUGCCAGGCCUGCGCCUCAUUGGCCACCAGCUGAAGUGACCGUGUGCUCUGGUUGGAUUUGGUAGAUGGGAUCUACCUGCAGCAGACUGCCCUCAUGCCAAACCUGUCUGGAUGGUCCAUGGUUGGUGAAAACAGAGACUUGGAGACUUUGCAUCACAAGGCGUGGAGUGCACUGACUGUUGCCAUGAAGUCUGGUUAUUCUGAAGACUUAAAGCCAUAUAUAUGAAGCAAGUUAGUACUAAAUUGACUACUGUACCUUUCAUUAGAUCUAUUAUCUACCUAGAGGCUAUUUUCACUUUCAAGUGGCAUUUGCUCCAUAAUAAGUAAUGUCUCAAAAUGCUGUUAAUUAAAGUUUCAUCUGUUUAGAGGAAUUUCUUCUUCUUCCCCCUUUCCUCUUUUCUUUUCAGAAGGUAGUAAUUAUUCCAAGAGUGUGGAGACAUUGUUACUGUAGCUCAUUAAAUAUGGCAAUGCUCACUUGGACCUUUGAGUGCUGGUGAUGUCAAGUUGACCUGAAAUGCAAGGAUUCCAUCUGUCAGGAAUUACUGAUGAAUUGGCAAUUAAAUAUAAAUAAAUAUAUAUAUAUAUAUAUUUAACUCA
rnacentral:lncRNA from 1 species